rnacentral:rRNA from 1 species
GCCCUAGUAACGGCGAGUGAAGCGGCAAUAGCUCAAAUUUGAAAGCUGGCCUCUGGUCCGCAUUGUAAUUUGUAGAGGAUGCUUUUAGGCAGCCGCCGGUCUAAGUUCCUUGGAACAGGACGUCAUAGAGGGUGAGAAUCCCGUAUGUGACCGGCUCAGGCACCUUCUGUAAAGCUCCUUCGACGAGUCGAGUUGUUUGGGAAUGCAGCUCUAAAUGGGAGGUAAAUUUCUUCUAAAGCUAAAUACUGGCGAGAGACCGAUAGCGCACAAGUAGAGUGAUCGAAAGAUGAAAAGCACUUUGGAAAGAGAGUUAAAAAGCACGUGAAAUUGUUGAAAGGGAAGCGCUUGCAAUCAGACUUGGCUUAGAUUGUUCAACCGGUCUUCUGACCGGCCUAUUCAUUCUGAGCCAGGCCAGCAUCAGUUUCGGCGGCCGGAUAAAGGCCUUGGGAAUGUGGCCCUCCCUUCGGGGUGGGUGUUAUAGCCCAGGGUGUAAUACGGCCAGCCGGGACUGAGGUCCGCGAUUCGUCUAGGAUGCUGGCGUAAUGGUUGUAAGCGGCCCGUCUUGAAACACGGAC